rnacentral:rRNA from 1 species
UUUGAUCCUGGCUCAGGACGAACGCUGUCGGCGUGCUUAACACAUGCAAGUCGAACGAAUGAGCUUAGACAGAUUUCUUCGGAAUGACGACUAAGUGAUUUAGUGGCGAACGGGUGAGUAACACGUGAGAAACCUGCCUUUCACAGAGGGAUAGCCGUUGGAAACGACGAUUAAUACCUCAUGACAUCAACAGAUCGCAUGGUCAGUUGAUUAAAGAUUUUAUCGGUGAGAGAUGGUCUUGCGCCUGAUUAGCUAGUUGGUGGAAUAAAAGCCUACCAAGGCAACGAUCAGUAACCGGCCUGAGAGGGUGAACGGUCACACUGGAACUGAGACACGGUCCAGACUCCUACGGGAGGCAGCAGUGGGGAAUUUUGCACAAUGGGGGGAACCCUGAUGCAGCGACGUCGCGUGAAUGAUGAAGGCCUUCGGGUUGUAAAGUUCUGUCCUUAGCGAAGAUAAUGACAGUAGCUAAGAAGAAAGCUCCGGCUAAAUACGUGCCAGCAGCCGCGGUAAGACGUAAGGGGCGAGCGUUGUCCGGAAUUACUGGGCGUAAAGGGCGUGUAGGCGGGAAGGCAAGUCAGAUGUGAAAGCCCAUGGCUUAACUGUGGAACUGCAUCUGAAACUGUUUUUCUUGAGUACUGGAGAGGAAAGUGGAAUUCCUAGUGUAGCGGUGAAAUGCGUAGAGAUUAGGAGGAACACCAGUGGCGAAGGCGGCUUUCUGGACAGUAACUGACGCUGAGGCGCGAAAGCGUGGGGAGCAAACAGGAUUAGAUACCCUGGUAGUCCACGCUGUAUACGAUGGAUACUAGGUGUGGGAGGUAUCGACCCCUCCCGUGCCGGAGUUAACACAAUAAGUAUCCCACCUGGGGAGUACGGCCGCAAGGUUGAAACUCAAGGGAAUUGACGGGGGCCCGCACAAGCAGUGGAGUAUGUGGUUUAAUUCGAAGCAACGCGAAGAACCUUACCAGGGCUUGACAUACCAAUGAUCGGGUUAGAGAUAACCCUUCCCUUCGGGGCAUUGGAUACAGGUGGUGCAUGGUUGUCGUCAGCUCGUGUCGUGAGAUGUUGGGUUAAGUCCCGCAACGAGCGCAACCCCUGUUGUUAGUUGCCAUCAUUUAGUUGGGCACUCUAACGAGACUGCCGGUGACAAAUCGGAGGAAGGUGGGGAUGACGUCAAAUCAUCAUGCCCCUUAUGUCCUGGGCUACACACGUACUACAAUGGCGAUUACAGAGGGAGGCAAGACCGCGAGGUGGAGCAAAUCCCUAAAAGUCGCCCCAGUUCAGAUUGCAGGCUGCAACUCGCCUGCAUGAAGUAGGAAUUGCUAGUAAUGGCAGGUCAGCAUACUGCCGUGAAUACGUUCCCGGGCCUUGCACACAGCGCCCGUCA